GUGCGCGAGUGAAAUGAAGAGACAGAGAAACAAACACGAAGCUUGCACUCGCUGUCCAAUCUUCAAAAUUCAAAUACUCGGUCUUGAGCCUCUCUCUCAACUCAAGCUUGGAUUUUUUUCUUCGAUUUCGGCUGCUGCGUUGAUUCGAUUUUUUUUGUGCUUUUCUGCUAUUGAAGUUGGCAACGUCAGAUGAACAUCCAAGGCAGUUUCUUAGUAUGCCAGAAGAAGCCCAGCAGAUGGUUUUUUAACCUGAGGCACACCUUGCAGUUUGGCAUUGGAUUACACCAUGCCGGUCUGAAUGACAAAGAUAGAUCUCUGGUUGAGGAACAAGAUUCAGGCAUUUCUGUUUUACCUCAGUAUUGAUUUGUACCAGCACAUUGGCAUGGGGUGUAAACCUUCCAGGUCAUCAUCUGGUCAUUAUUAAGGGAACAGAAUAUUAUGAUGGGAAAACAAAGAGAUAUGUUGAUUUUCCAAUAUCAAUCACAGAUAUAUUGCAAAUGAUGGUUUUGGUCACACAUGACUAUAUAGAAUAAAAAA